UACGUAGGGUGCAAGCGUUAAUCGGAAUUACUGGGCGUAACGCGUGCGCAGGCGGCUUUGCAAGUCAGAUGUGAAAUCCCCGGGCUCAACCUGGGAACUGCAUUUGUGACUGCAAGGCUAGAGUACGGCAGAGGGGGAUGGAAUUCCGCGUGUAGCAGUGAAAUGCGUAGAUAUGCGGAGGAACACCGAUGGCGAAGGCAAUCCCCUGGGCCUGUACUGACGCUCAUGCACGAAAGCGUGGGGAGCAAACAGG
rnacentral:rRNA from 1 species